GCACAAGCGGUGGAGCAUGUGGUUCAAUUCGACGCAACGCGAAGAACCUUACCCAGGCUCGAACGGCAAUUGACAUCCGGCGAAAGUCGGCUCCCGCAAGGGCAAUUGUCGAGGUGCUGCAUGGCUGUCGUCAGCUCGUGUCGUGAGAUGUUGGGUUAAGUCCCGCAACGAGCGCAACCCUUGUCCGCUGUUGCCAUCAGGUUAAGCUGGGCACUCUGCGGAGACUGCCGGUGAUAAACCGGAGGAAGGUGGGGAUGACGUCAAGUCAGCAUGGCCUUUAUGUCUGGGGCUACACACGUGCUACAAUGGCAGGUACAAACCGUCGCGAUGCCGCAAGGUGGAGCUAAUCGGAGAAAACCUGUCUCAGUUCGGAUUGCAGGCUGCAACUCGCCUGCAUGAAGUUGGAAUCGCUAGUAAUCGCGGAUCAGCACGCCGCGGUGAAUACGUUCCCGGGC
rnacentral:rRNA from 1 species